CUCGAUAGGCGUUUACGAAGCACUAAGUGUCCAAGAUAAACCAAGCAUUUAUGCUGAAAUGAAAAACCAGAAAGAACAGAAACAACUUAAAAAACAAAAACAGUUAAAGAAAUCGAAUAAUCCUAACGAAAGCAUUGAAAUAAAUACAACACAAG